CCCCUCUCAGGAUCACACCUGGAGAGUUUCCAAUUCUCUACCUGUCUUGGGUAUGGGAGGGAGAGUCAAGCAGAGGCAUACCCAUUCCAUUCCUAGCUUGGGUGUGGCUAGCAAGUGGAAGACAAUCUGUUUAAAGU